ACGUAGGCAGCGAGCGUUGUUCGGAAUUACUGGGCGUAAAGCGUGCGUAGGCGGUGGCUCAAGUUUGGUGUGAAAUCUCCCGGCUCAACUGGGAGGGUGCGCCGAAAACUGAGUUGCUCGAGUGUGGGAGAGGUAGGCGGAAUUCCUGGUGUAGCGGUGAAAUGCGUAGAUAUCAGGAGGAACACCGGCGGUGUAGACGGCUUACUGGACCAUAACUGACGCUGAGGCACGAAAGUGUGGGGAGCAAACAGGA
rnacentral:rRNA from 1 species